AGUGCAAAAGGUCUUAUCGCUCUCUGCUUUGUAGGGAGAGGAAAGUCCGGACAACAAAGAGCACCGUACUUCUUAAUGGGAAGGCUCCGGGGUGCAUGCCCUGGAGACAGCUAGUGCCACAGAAAACAAACCGCCCUAAACAGACCGCCGCAAGGUGAACUGCCACGGGUAAGGGUGAAAAGGCGGGGUAAGAGCCCACCGUGCUGUUGGUGACAACAGUAGCCUGGCAAACCUUACGGGUUGAAAGAUCAAAUAGGUUUUAUUUUUCUAAAUGAAAAUGGGCUGCUCGCUCAUGGCUUAAUCGCCGGUAAAACGGGUAGAUCGAACGAGCCACAUGGUGACAUGCGGCCCAGAUAAUGAUAAGAUCACAGGAUGGUUGCCGCAAGGCAGACAUGCUGUGAACAGAAUCCGGCUUAUACUUUUGCACUAUUU
rnacentral:RNase_P_RNA from 1 species